GACACUCACAAGUAAACAGACGUGUUUUUAUUCAGCUCGGAGUCUCGUAAUAUGUAGAAUUUAAUAUUUUGCUAAAAACAAAGUAGAAGGAAAACGAAAAUCAGAUGAAAAAGUAAUAAAUUUUGGCAAAAUCUUAUAAAGUCAAAAUCAACAGUUCGCAGUAUAUAUGAGAGCCAACGCAUUGUGCCACGGAAGCCACACAUCAAUUCAAAUAAUAUAGGAACAAAAAUAACAAAACGGAGACGAAAAACAAAACUAGUCAAACUGAUACAUCGAAGCGAGUAGAUUUAGCGAG